rnacentral:rRNA from 1 species
AGCAGCCGCGGUAAUUCCAGCUCCAAUAGCGUAUAUUAAAGUUGUUGCAGUUAAAAAGCUCGUAGUUGAAUUUCGGGAUUGACGUGAUGGUCGUGCCUUAAGGGGUAUGAACUGUCGCAGUUGAUUUCUCACCUUCUGGAGAAGCUUGAUGUCCUUAAUUGGGUGUCAUGUGGAACCAGGACCUUUACCUUGAAAAAAUUAGAGUGUUUAAAGCAGGCAUUUUGCUCGAAUACAUUAGCAUGGAAUAAUAGAAUAGGACGGCAUGGUUCUAUUUUGUUGGUUUCUAGGAUCACCGUAAUGAUUAAUAGGGAUAGUUGGGGGCAUUAGUAUUCAAUUGUCAGAGGUGAAAUUCUUGGAUUUAUUGAAGACUAACUACUGCGAAAGCAUUUGCCAAGGAUGUUUUCAUUAAUCAAGAACGAAAGUUAGGGGAUCGAAGACGAUCAGAUACCGUCGUAGUCUUAACCAUAAACCUAUGCCGACUAGGGAUCGGAUGAUGUUAAUUUUUAAUGUA